UACGUAGGGACCAAGCGUUGUUCGGAUUUACUGGGCGUAAAGGGCGCGUAGGCGGCAAUUCAAGUCAGCUGUGAAAUCUCCGGGCUUAACUCGGAACGGUCAGCUGAUACUGCUUUACUAGAGUGCAGAAGGGGCAAUCGGAAUUCUUGGUGUAGCGGUGAAAUGCGUAGAUAUCAAGAGGAACACCUGAGGUGAAGACGGGUUGCUGGGCUGACACUGACGCUGAGGCGCGAAAGCUAGGGUAGCAAACGGG
rnacentral:rRNA from 1 species